rnacentral:sRNA from 1 species
GCCGGGCGUGUGCAGUCCCAGCUACUCGGGAGGCUGAGGUAGGAGAAUGGCGUGAACCCGGGAGGCAGAGCUUGCAGUGAGCCGAGAUAGCACCACUGCAGUUCGGCCUGGGAGAAAGAGUGAGACUCUGUCUCAAUAAUAAUAAUAAUAUUUUUUUUAUUGAUAUAUAUAUUUUUUGAGACAGAGUUUUGCUCUAGUUGCCCAGGCUGGAGUGCAAUGGCACGACCUCGGCUCACUGCAACCUCUGCCUCCUGGGUUCAAGUGAUUCUCCUGCCUCA